AGAUUGAACGCUGGCGGCAUGCCUAACACAUGCAAGUCGAACGGGAGUAGCAAUACUCUAGUGGCGGACGGGUGAGGAAUACGUAGGAAUUUGCCCUUAAGUGGGGGAUAACCCGGGGAAACCCGGAUUAAUACCGCAUGACCUCGAAAGAGCAAAGUGGGGGAUCGCAAGACCUCACGCUUUUGGAGAAGCCUACGUCGGAUUAGCUAGUUGGUGAGGUAAUGGCUCACCAAGGCGACGAUCCGUAACUGGUCUGAGAGGAUGAUCAGUCACACCGGAACUGAGACACGGUCCGGACUCCUACGGGAGGCAGCAGUGGGGAAUAUUGGACAAUGGGCGCAAGCCUGAUCCAGCAAUGCCGCGUGUGUCGAAGAAGGCCUUCGGUUGUAAAGCACUUUAAGUGGGUAAGAAAAACUCGACUACUAACACAGUAGAGUCUUGACGGUACCGAACAGAAUAAGACACCGGACUAACUACUGU
rnacentral:rRNA from 1 species